UACGUAGGGCGCAAGCGUUAUCCGGAAUUAUUGGGCGUAAAGAGCUCGUAGGCGGUUUGUCGCGUCUGCCGUGAAAGUCCGGGGCUCAACUCCGGAUCUGCGGUGGGUACGGGCAGACUAGAGUGAUGUAGGGGAGACUGGAAUUCCUGGUGUAGCGGUGAAAUGCGCAUAUAUCAGGAGGAACACCGAUGGCGAAGGCAGGUCUCUGGGCAUUAACUGACGCUGAGGAGCGAAAGCAUGGGGAGCGAACAGG
rnacentral:rRNA from 1 species